AAGUCGUAACAAGGUUUCCGUAGGUGAACCUGCGGAAGGAUCAUUACCGAGUUCUCGGGCUUCGGCUCGAAUCUCCCACCCUUUGUGAACAUACCUCUGUUGCUUUGGCGGCUCUUUGCCGCGAGGAGGCCCUCGCGGGCCCCCCCGCGCGCCUUCCGCCAGAGGACCUUCAAACUCCAGUCAGUAAACGUCGACGUCUGAUAAACAAGUUAAUAAACUAAAACUUUCAACAACGGAUCUCUUGGUUCUG
rnacentral:misc_RNA from 1 species